GGCCGCAAGGUUAAAACUCAAAUGAAUUGACGGGGGCCCGCACAAGCGGUGGAGCAUGUGGUUUAAUUCGAUGCAACGCGAAGAACCUUACCUGGUCUUGACAUCCACAGAACUUUCCAGAGAUGGAUUGGUGCCUUCGGGAACUGUGAGACAGGUGCUGCAUGGCUGUCGUCAGCUCGUGUUGUGAAAUGUUGGGUUAAGUCCCGCAACGAGCGCAACCCUUAUCCUUUGUUGCCAGCGAUUAGGUCGGGAACUCAAAGGAGACUGCCAGUGAUAAACUGGAGGAAGGUGGGGAUGACGUCAAGUCAUCAUGGCCCUUACGACCAGGGCUACACACGUGCUACAAUGGCGCAUACAAAGAGAAGCGACCUCGC
rnacentral:rRNA from 2 species